AUGAAUUGAUGCCUUUUCAGGUGUAAAGGAAGUGAAGUGUGAACCCAGUGUUUCUUUUGACUACUCCAAGUCUGAAAUGAAUUCCAUGAGGAGGAAAAGGCUGAAUUGAGUGCAUGAAAUAAAGGAGGAGCAUCCUAAGAAGCAGUCAGGUUGGAGAAAAAGAUCAGAGUUUCAUCUGUUGUGAAAAUGGAAGGUAAUUAGACGUCAGAAGAUUACAAGGAAAGAUAAAGCGGAUAAAUUUACACGGAAUCAUACCACAUGAGCUCACAUCACGA